GGGCGAUUAGCACAGUUGGUUAGCGCGCAUGCUUCACAUGCAUGAGGUCACAGGUUCAAGUCCUGUAUCGCCCA
rnacentral:tRNA from 1 species